CCUACAGACUGGGAUAAUUCCGGGAAACCGGAGCUAAUACCGGGUAAUACGUAGCAUCGCCUGAUGCAACGUUGAAAGUUGGCCUUUGGCUAACACUGUAGGAUGGGCCCGCGGCGCAUUAGCUAGUUGGUAAGGUAACGGCUUACCAAGGCCACGAUGCGUAGCCGACCUGAGAGGGUGAUCGGCCACACUGGGACUGAGACACGGCCCAGACUCCUACGGGAGGCAGCAGUAGGGAAUCUUCCGCAAUGGACGAAAGUCUGACGGAGCAACGCCGCGUGAGUGACGAAGGCCUUCGGGUCGUAAAGCUCUGUUGUUAGGGAAGAACAAGUACCGUUCGAAUAGGGCGGUACCUUGACGGUACCUAACCAGAAAGCCACGGCUAACUACGUGCCAGCAGCCGCGGUAAUACGUAGGUGGCAAGCGUUGUCCGGAAUUAUUGGGCGUAAAGCGCGCGCAGGCGGUCUCUUAAGUCUGAUGUGAAAGCCCACGGCUCAACCGUGGAGGGCCAUUGGAAACUGGGGGACUUGAGUGCAGAAGAGGAGAGUGGAAUUCCACGUGUAGCGGUGAAAUGCGUAGAUAUGUGGAGGAACACCAGUGGCGAAGGCGGCUCUCUGGUCUGUAACUGACGCUGAGGCGCGAAAGCGUGGGGAGCAAACAGGAUUAGAUACCCUGGUAGUCCACGCCGUAAACGAUGAGUGCUAGGUGUUGGGGGGUUCCACCCUCAGUGCUGAAGUUAACACAUUAAGCACUCCGCCUGGGGAGUACGACCGCAAGGUUGAAACUCAAAGGAAUUGACGGGGGCCCGCACAAGCAGUGGAGCAUGUGGUUUAAUUCGAAGCAACGCGAAGAACCUUACCAGGUCUUGACAUCCUCUGCCACUCCUAGAGAUAGGACGUUCCCCUUCGGGGGACAGAGUGACAGGUGGUGCAUGGUUGUCGUCAGCUCGUGUCGUGAGAUGUUGGGUUAAGUCCCGCAACGAGCGCAACCCUUGAUCUUAGUUGCCAGCAUUCAGUUGGGCACUCUAAGGUGACUGCCGGUGACAAACCGGAGGAAGGUGGGGACGACGUCAAAUCAUCAUGCCCCUUAUGACCUGGGCUACACACGUGCUACAAUGGACGGUACAAAGGGCAGCAACACCGCGAGGUGAAGCGAAUCCCAUAAAGCCGUUCUCAGUUCGGAUUGCAGGCUGCAACUCGCCUGCAUGAAGCCGGAAUUGCUAGUAAUC
rnacentral:rRNA from 1 species